rnacentral:rRNA from 1 species
GAUGAACGCUGGCGGCAGGCUUAAUACAUGCCAGUCGAACGGUAAGGCCGAGUGUAGCAAUACACGAGGUACACGAGUGGCGCACGGGUGCGUAACGCGUAUGCAACCUGCCCCUGACCGGGACAAAACAGCUGGAAACGGCUGCUAAUAUCCCAUGGUUACCGAGGAGGGCAUCCUCCUUUGUAUAAAGAUUUAUUGGUCGGGGAUGGGCAUGCGUAUUAUUAGGUAGUUGGUGGGGUAACGGCCCACCAAGCCGACGAUGAUUAGGGGUUCUGAGAGGAUUAACCCCCACACUGGAACUGAGACACGGUCCAGACUCCUACGGGAGGCAGCAGUAGGGAAUAUUGGGCAAUGGAGGCAACUCUGACCCAGCCAUGCCGCGUGAAGGAAGACGGCCCUAUGGGUUGUAAACUUCUUUUAUCGUGGAGUAAACCCGGUCACGUGUGGCCGGUUGAGAGUACACGAGGAAUAAGUAUCGGCUAACUCCGUGCCAGCAGCCGCGGUAAUACGGAGGAUACGAGCGUUAUCCGGAUUUAUUGGGUUUAAAGGGUGCGCAGGCGGAUCGGUAAGUCAGGGGUGAAAAGUUGGGGCUCAACUCCAAUCGUGCCUUUGAUACUGCCGGACUAGAGUGCGAUAGGCGUGGCUGGAAUGUGAUGUGUAGCGGUGAAAUGCUUAGAUAUGUCACAGAACACCGAUCGAGAAGUCAGGUCACGAGCUCGCAACUGACGCUCAGGCACGAAAGCGUGGGGAUCAAACAGGCUUAGAUACCCUGGUAGUCCACGCUGUAAACGAUGAUCACUCGUUGUUGGGGGGCGACCCUCAGCGGCCAAGCGAAAGCAAUAAGUGAUCCACCUGGGGAGUACGAUCGCAAGGUUGAAACUCAAAGGAAUUGACGGGGACCCGCACAAGCGGUGGAGCAUGUGGUUUAAUUCGAAGCAACGCGAAGAACCUUACCUAAGCUUGACAUCCUUUUGACCGAUGCCUAAUCGCAUUUUUCCCUUCGGGGACAGAAGUGACGGGUGGUGCAUGGUUGUCGUCAGCUCGUGUCGUGAGAUGUUGGGUUAAGUCCCGCAACGAGCGCAACCCUUGCCUUUAGUUGCCAGCAUUAAGUUGGGCACUCUAGAGGGACUGCCAGGGAUAACCUGGAGGAAGGUGGGGAUGACGUCAAAUCAUCAUGCCCCUUAUGCUUAGGGCUACACACGUGCUACAAUGGGUGGUACAGAGGGCAGCCAAGUCGUGAGGCCGAGCUAAUCCCUUAAAGCCAUUCUCAGUUCGGAUUGUAGGCUGAAACUCGCCUACAUGAAGCUGGAGUUACUAGUAAUCGCAGAUCAGAAUGCUGCGGUGAAU